UUGACAUACUAAGAACUUUCCAGAGAUGGAUUGGUGCCUUCGGGAACUUAGAUACAGGUGCUGCAUGGCUGUCGUCAGCUCGUGUCGUGAGAUGUUGGGUUAAGUCCCGCAACGAGCGCAACCCUUUUCCUUAUUUGCCAGCGGGUCAUGCCGGGAACUUUAAGGAUACUGCCAGUGACAAACUGGAGGAAGGCGGGGACGACGUCAAGUCAUCAUGGCCCUUACGGCCAGGGCUACACACGUGCUACAAUGGUCGGUACAAAGGGUUGCUACCUCGCGAGAGGAUGCUAAUCUCAAAAAGCCGAUCGUAGUCUGGAUCGCAGUCUGCAACUCGACUGCGUGAAGUCGGAAUCGCUAGUAAUCGCGGAUCAGAAUGCCGCGGUGAAUACGUUCCCGGGCCUUGUACACACCGCCCGUCACACCAUGGGAGUUUGUUGCACCAGAAGUAGGUAGUCUAACCGCAAGGAGGACGCUUACCACGGUGUGGCCGAUGACUGGGGUGAAGUCGUAACAAGGUAGGCGUAGAUGA
rnacentral:rRNA from 1 species